GUCGCGUGAGGGAUGAAGGUUCUAUGGAUCGUAAACCUCUUUUAUAAGGGAAUAAAGUGUGGGACGUGUCCUAUUUUGUAUGUACCUUAUGAAUAAGGAUCGGCUAACUCCGUGCCAGCAGCCGCGGUAAUACGGAGGAUCCGAGCGUUAUCCGGAUUUAUUGGGUUUAAAGGGUGCGUAGGCGGCCUUUUAAGUCAGCGGUGAAAGUCUGUGGCUCAACCAUAGAAUUGCCGUUGAAACUGGGGGGCUUGAGUAUGUUUGAGGCAGGCGGAAUGCGUGGUGUAGCGGUGAAAUGCUUAGAUAUCACGCAGAACCCCGAUUGCGAAGGCAGCCUGCCAAGCCAUGACUGACGCUGAUGCACGAAAGCGUGGGGAUCAAACAGGAUUAGAUACCCUGGUAGUCCACGCAGUAAACGAUGAUCACUAGCUGUUUGCGAUACAGUGUAA
rnacentral:rRNA from 1 species